AAGAGAGAUAGAGCAAAUCUUUUCGUCUCACGCAGCUCCUCUCUCUCAUCUCAUUUUUCCCAUCCGGACCGGCGGCUACGGUUCCGCCUGCGCCGCCACCGCCACCGCCACCAUCCCUGCUCCUCCAGUCCCGUCCACUGAAGAAGGCGCCCUCCUGAGACCUCUUCUCGCCCUUCGCAGCAAGGUGUGGGUGCCGGAGGAGCAGCUAUGGCCGACGGCCUAGUGGCAGCGACGACCGGCAGAGAGCUGCGGCGGCUCGCAGUGGAGGAGCAGCAGCGGUCGACGGCGGCCCGGACAUGGCGGCCGUCACGGGCAGAGCCGGGCGAAGAGGGCGCGGUGGCGGGGCAUGAUCUGGAGAACCGGUGGGCGGUGGUUCAAGAUCUGGGCGGGCCCGACCAAUGCGAGUUGGAGACGAGGUGACCGCGUUGACCAGGACACCGUCGCAGAUCCCCAUCUUGCCGUCGGGAGAGGAGCUCGUCCAGGAUCCCCUCUUCUCCAUAGAUCCGCAACGGAGGUGCUGAGGAGGAGCUUCUUCUCGGGACGCCAUGAAGAUCGUCAAGGUCGCACUCCAGAUCCCGCGUCGGCAUGGCACCACUUUGACACAGAGUCAGCUUUCUUCUUCACUAACCAACACAUUACAGGGAGGGUGAUGUGCUUGAAGAUGACCUCAUUGGGAGUCUGAAAGUGUGUCCCCCUUGGCAUAAGCACCAUGGGAAGUAGAGACAACCGGCUCCGUCCUGCUCCAACAUCGCCGUCCGUCGACCCAACGAACAAGAAACGCAUCAACAGGAGAAGCACGGCACAUGUACAUGUACACAUGCACUUCUUUCUUCCUGAUUUUUUCUUCCUCUUUCUUCCAGUGCCUUGCUGUUAGAGCUUCUCUUCUUGGACCAUCAACGGAUAGUUGUAUGCAGGCACUCUCAUUUGUCUCACCCUUCCGAUCCUUUCUGUGAUUGCUAAAUACUCCCUCCGUUCCAAAAUAGAUGACCCAACUUUGUGCUAAAGUUAAUACAAAGUUGAGUCAUCUAUUUUGGAACGGAGGGAGUAUUAUUUAAGACAAUUCCUCUUGAUAGCAUGUUUUGCCAUGAUUGUUGUUGUUGUUUAUUUAACCAAAAAAUAGAUUCUUCUGAAGUUCAAUGUUCCAAUGGAGUAUGUAUUUAUGUGCUUGCCUAAUUAUAUCAUGCCAAUUGCUUGAGCAGCAGGCACUGGUAAUUAUUUUCCUAAGAGUGAUAUUGAGUUUCAGUAACGUAGACCCAUCUGUUAAUUUCAGUCUUUGGUGCUUUUUCGGAUAUUUAAUGUUGUUUCAAUUGGUAAGAUAAUGGGAUGCAACACUUAUUUUACCAGUUCUAAAGCAUGACUAAGUAUGGAAAGACCAGAGGCAAGUGUUAUUUUCUCUUGUAAACUUCUUUUGCUUGUCUAUCUCCCUACUGGUAUGCAGGUCUUUAAUUGAUAGUUUAUUAUAUAUAGUUUGCUUUAUAUAGAGUUUAUUAUAUAAAGUGAUCUCAAGGCGUUGGGCAUCCUGAUGGUAAGUGCAUUACACAUCAUGCCAGAUCAUGAAUUUUGCAAGAAUAGGCAUUUCUUGGCUCCUCACAUCCUUCAUCCAAGAUUAAUGUCAGUAUGGUCUGGCUAUACUUUACAUAAACUGUAUACUCAACUGUUAAACAAGUACACAGAAUGACAGAAGUACUUAGAAUGCAUCAUUUUGCUCAGGAACUGGACUGAACUUGCUUUACAGAAGUACUGCAUGCACUUCUAUUUUUUAUCCGAUGAUAUGGCACAUAAGUUAAUGCCAAAUCCAGUGUAAAGUAAUUCUUUUGUAAGUCGGCAUCAUUAUUUUUGCAUAUGUAUAUUUUCAUUCCAGGCGCAAAGGUCAAGCUUACGGUGCAUGUUCUUUUAGGGUCCUAGGAAGAAGAGUACCUUUUCCUUGGAAUCGAGAGCAUAGGGCAAUGCCAUGGGGUACCAUGUUGAAAAGUAGGGAGAUGUGGUAUUUUGUUUUGCUCAUCUGAAGUUCGGCAUGUUUUAUUGACAUCUUGUAAGGCUACAGGUAAAACAAUGUGGGGUCUCUUUUAUUGGCAUGUUUCUGUCUUGGUAAGCAUGCAUCAAACAGGCUUAGGUUGGUUAGAACAAGGUGUGGCGGUCAAGGGAUGAUGCUGUAAUAUUAUUAGACUGCUGUUAUUUCUGGUCUGCAUGCAUUUCUGGCCGGACAAGCUGGUUAACUGAUGCGGCACUGUGUCAGUGAAACUGGGGCAAUAUUUUCAUUGCUGUAUACUAUUGUUACACAUACGAUUUCAUAGUUUGGCAAGUAUCACAAAAUUUGUGGUUAAGUCAUUUCUGAAUAAUGUUUAGUUUCCCGCUUGGCAUGCUUCUUUACAUCAAUCGAUCAGAUUCACCGCCGUUGGCCAGAGUUGCGCCUAAUUCAUACUGAUGUUAAGGAUGAACUCUCUAUUUUCUAAUAGAUCAGACUGGAUUCUAUGUUCUGUCCAUGCCCUGUUCACUGGCAUUGCCUCUUGAUUCCCCUCUUAAGUAGAAGAUCCACAGUAAGCAUAGCAAGUCCACUUGAGGAGCAAAUGUUGUUUAUCACCGCAUCUCUUCUCAUGUUGACAAGCAAGCCCGAUAUCUAUGAAGGCACCAUACAAGGCGGCGACGGCGUACCGCUCAAUACCUGCAGCCCCUGGUAUGGACAGGAAAAUAUGAGCUUCUCGGCCUCGAUGACGUCCUCGUGCCUCUAUCUAAAAUGGCAGAUAUGUUUGUUUCUCUGGUGGGACGGCAGUUCUUCCGAAGCUUUGCUUUUCGCGAUGAGGAGAUUCGAGUGCAUCUUAAUUAUUGACACCUCAUUCUAUGAGAAGCUCGGCAAGAAAGGCAGCAGCUGACGGGAGGAUGUACCGAGGCCUGCGGCGGACUCAGCAGGAUGGAAAGCAGCGAGCAACGAUGCAUACUUCAGGGAAGCCUGCUGUUUCUCCUCGCCAAGACCUAAGAUAGCACGAGGUCCGCGCAGAUAGAGGCACUCAUGCAGGAAAGAGACGAGGGAGCAGCUGGUGGUCCGGACGACGAAGAUCAGCUGAACGUUGGCUCCCAUGAAGUUGAUUGAUUGUGCCUCUGCUUUUGUGCCGCUUGCGUUGCUUUUGAACCACUGUCAUUUGUGUCAUUGGUGAUGUAAACUAUAAGGACAUAUCAAUAAUAUCUAUGACUCCUAAGGCUGUUCUCUUAUCACA